UAAAAGCAUUAGCAGUUAUAUUAGGCAGAUUGAUAUUUGCUUUCAUUUUAUAUGCAAAAUAGCACUUUAAGGAAUGUUCCAGAGCCCAAAAGCUAAAGAUCAGAGAAUGGCUUAGUUUUGUCUUGUUUUCAAGACAGAAUAUCUUGGUGUAGUCCUGGCUGUCCUAAAACUAAAACUUGCUUUGUAGACCAGGCUGGCCUUGAACUCAAGAGAUCUGCCUGCCUCUGCCUCCCAAAUGCUGAGAUUAAAGGUGGACGCCACCACUGCCUGGUGGGAUAUUGGCUUUAUUUAAUAAAGGUACUUAAUAUUUGUACCCAGAGAGGGACUUUCUGGAGACAUCUGCCAGGAACAGCCUCUAGGAGACCUAUAGGGACUUUUUGGGAACACCUGCUUUCAGGUGCUAUGUGUGACCUGGACUUUGGUUCUCCUGUCUUGCCCUGUGAGUUUGGCCAAAAGUCUUUGUUUUUCUGUGUUCAAAGGAUUCACCUUAGGGCAGUUCAUGAAUUCCUCCAGUAACUUUGAUCCUCUAGUAUGGCUGGGGACCGAGCCACUGGUACCAGAGAAGGUGCUGCUUUUGUAGGGACAAAUCAAGCUUGCUGCAAAGUCAAGUGUGUGUCUGGGCCUCUGAAUGGUGGUAGUCUAGGUCCUGUGCCUGACCCCAGGUGGGUGGAGCUGGCAGGCUAUGCUGGUUACUCGAGGGAAGCACAGGGCUGCAGGGUGGGGCCAGGCUAACUUUCCUUUCCUGGUAAUGUGCCACGCUAACCUCAUUUCCUUUUUCUGAGGGGAAAUGCCAUUGACAUCACACAACUGGAUUUCCAGCGAGGAGGCAGGAGGAGAACUCGUGAUUCUCUUGUAGACAAGAAGCGUGCAAGAUGGAGUGAGAUG
rnacentral:lncRNA from 1 species